rnacentral:lncRNA from 1 species
GAUGAAUGGUGGAGCCCAGGCCAGUAAAGCCCUGAGCUCCACAGUGGCUGGCCUGGGUCCUAGGGAUGCCAACGUUGGGCAUGGUGUGGUUCCUAUCCUGCACCCCACUCUUAUGCCUAGCACCCUAUUCCCUGAAAUGAAGCAAGGCCUGGGCUCUCCAUGGGCAGUCGUCACAUUUGGAGCAGCCCUUCCCCCCAGGACACAAACUUAUAAAACACAAAAGCUGGGGUCCCCACAGACCGCAUCAUCCAAGGCGGGGACAGUACACAGAGCACAAAUCUCAAAUCGGAAGUCCUCUGAAUCAGCCUUCCUGAUGGGAUGGAGACUCACGCUGAGAAGACCUGAAGAUGACAUACAGCAUCGACCUGUCAGGCAGCCAGCUCCCAGAAACUAGCCCCCGAAGCCCAGCGAGAAGUGCUCUGUGGCUCUGGGCAUCUGUGCCCAGGAGGACCAUGCGUUGUGGUGUCUGCUGCCAGCAGACAAGCAUCUAAGAGACUGUGCCCUGAUUACUAGCUAUCAAAUUGUGUUUUUUGGAAAAUUGGCCUGUGAAUCAGGCUGUUCCUCUGCUGACUUGCAAAGAGGUUCCUCUACAUAAGGCUUAUAGGCUCCAACCAGUACUUGCAAAA